rnacentral:antisense_RNA from 1 species
UUAUGGUGGGGCGUGCAGGGCAGCCGCAAGGCUGGCCGGGUCCUUUGUAGCCGGUAGUGCAAACCCUGUACGUCUCACCACCA